rnacentral:rRNA from 1 species
GAUGAACGCUGGCGGCGUGCCUAAUACAUGCAAGUCGAGCGAACAGAUGAGAAGCUUGCUUCUCUGAUGUUAGCGGCGGACGGGUGAGUAACACGUGGGUAACCUACCUAUAAGACUGGGAUAACUCCGGGAAACCGGGGCUAAUACCGGAUAAUAUUUUGAAACGCAUGGUUCAAUAGUGAAAGACGGUUUCGGCUGUCACAUAUAGAUGGACCCGCGCCGUAUUAGCUAGUUGGUAAGGUAACGGCUUACCAAGGCGACGAUACGUAGCCGACCUGAGAGGGUGAUCGGCCACACUGGAACUGAGACACGGUCCAGACUCCUACGGGAGGCAGCAGUAGGGAAUCUUCCGCAAUGGGCGAAAGCCUGACGGAGCAACGCCGCGUGAGUGAUGAAGGUCUUCGGAUCGUAAAACUCUGUUGUUAGGGAAGAACAAAUUUGUUAGUAACUGAACAAGUCUUGACGGUACCUAACCAGAAAGCCACGGCUAACUACGUGCCAGCCGCCGCGGUAA